GACGAACGCUGGCGGCGUGCUUAACACAUGCAGGUCGAACGAUGAACCCGGAGCUUGCUCUGGGGGAUUAGUGGCGAACGGGUGAGUAACACGUGAGUAACCUGCCCUGGACUCUGGGAUAAGCGUUGGAAACGACGUCUAAUACCGGAUAGGACCUUGGAUCGCAUGAUCUGGGGUGGAAAGUUUUUUCGGUCUGGGAUGGACUCGCGGCCUAUCAGCUUGUUGGUGAGGUAAUGGCUCACCAAGGCGUCGACGGGUAGCCGGCCUGAGAGGGUGACCGGCCACACUGGGACUGAGACACGGCCCAGACUCCUACGGGAGGCAGCAGUGGGGAAUAUUGCACAAUGGGCGAAAGCCUGAUGCAGCAACGCCGCGUGCGGGAUGACGGCCUUCGGGUUGUAAACCGCUUUUAGUAGGGAAGAAGGGCUUCGGCUUGACGGUACCUGCAGAAAAAGGACCGGCUAACUACGUG
rnacentral:rRNA from 1 species